GCCUCCUACCUCAUGCUGCACACGAGUGCUCUGCUUUCAUUCAGCUCUGAUGUCUCUGUUUUGUUACGUAUAUGUUGUGUUGUCCCCCGUGCCGUUUGUCCCUCCUCCCCUCCUGUUGUCUCCAGCUCUGCCCAGUUUUAAAAUUGGACAUUUACCUCUCGCUGGAAUCUGGCUCACUGCUCCUCCCUCGGCGCUUCAUGACAUCUCGCCCUCUCCUAUUCCUCUCCUCCUCGUGCUGGCUCCGAGUCCUUGGGGAUCAUCGAGGUCCUGAUGGAGGCGAGACAGGCAUGAUCCAGGGAGUGGAGUCUGUCCAGCCAGAGACUGAAUUGUGACAGGAACCUAUAUAUAAAAAAGAAAAGAUGCUGUUAAGUAUUGGUCAGACCUGCAAACAACCCUCAUUUCAAUGUGUGAAAUCAAACAGAUUUUAAUAAAUAGAUGAUAAUAUAGAUAAUAAACACAUUAAGCUUACCUGCUCCUUGAUUUGUAAAAAGUUGACAUUUGCUUUUUGAAAGAUUUUGGACAGACAUGCGAGGUGGGGCAAAACAUCAGCCUGGAGGUAAACUGCUGCCACAAAUCUGUAUGUAGCACAGAAUGUGUAGGGUCCCUUUGCCACUGGACAUCUUCUCAUCUCUGCCCCCUCUGCCAAGGCUCCAAGGAAUGCACUCAAGUUCCUCAGUAGGGUCUCGAUGACCCUGUGCUAAAAGAGCCAGCUUAGUCUGCUUUGCCAUCGUCAAUAGAGACCAAGUCCAGGAAUUGAUUGAACACAUGUCCCUCUUUAUCCAGGUAUCUGAGAGAAAGCAAAG